AUUGAACGCUGGCGGCAGGCCUAACACAUGCAAGUCGAACGCGUAGCGGACGGGUGAGUAAUUUCUGGGAAACUGCCUGAUCGAGGGGGAUAACUACUGGAAACGGUAGCUAAUACCGCAUACCAUCAGAUGUGCCCACAUGGGAUUAGCUCGUUGGUGGGGUAACGGCUCACCAAGGCGACGAUCCCUAGCUGGUCUGAGAGGGUGACCGGCCACACUGGAACUGAGACACGGUCCAGACUCCUACGGGAGGCAGCAGUGGGGAAUAUUGGUCAAUGGGCGCAAGCCUGAUGGAGCAAUGCCGCGUGUAUGAAGAAGGCCUUCGGGUUGUAAAGUACUUUCAGCGGGGAGGCGUUACCCGCAGAGAAAGCACCGGCUAACUCCGUGCCAGCAGCCGCGGUAAUAC
rnacentral:rRNA from 1 species